AACUUAUCACUCCCCUCUUUCUCCACUCAGAGGUCAGAGACGCUCCUCUCACCUUCUCCCGUCACAACUACUCCCAUCCAUGGCGCCCCCCUCCCCUUGACGGCGUCGGCUGGCCCCUCCUCUUAAUGGGAAGGCCCUACCCUUUGCUCUCCUUGCUUGUGCCCUCCCCUCCUCUGCCUCCGACAAGCCCCCCCUCCCAAACAUCGUCGUCGACCCGCUCUGGAGCGACAGAAGCCGUAGUGCAUGGCACAGAAGCGCAGGCUGUCUCGGCCAUUGCCGCCGUCCUCGGAGCUCGCAAAAAAGGCGUGAAAGAGUUGGGGCAACCAUCCCAAAAGUAGGUGGGCAAAGCUCAACAUGCAGUCACAUUGAGUAUUAGUUUCAUGGCAUGAAAGAGUUUCAGUAUUUUCCGGGUACCACACGAUGAGGUGUGGAUGUGUCUUCCAGAUCAGAUUCUACAGUGUAGUUGGGUAAUCCAAGCAAAUAUCUGUUAGCUUUUCUCUACUAUCUGAUCAUGUUGUCACAAAGUUUGGAGAUAGUAUCAAAAGAAUAAUAAAGGAAAAUUCUUGAAGAACAAAGGAUAUCAUUUGAUUGAAUCAGUGUUGUAAGAUUAAAGAUUUAUGGUGUUGGGAAAGAUAGUUUUUUAUGUA